GAGCAGUGAAGAUUUAGGCUUCAGCGAUGGUUGGGUCCAUCGCAUCUGUCUGAUAUCUCGGAUGUCUUACUAGCCAUACACUGAGCUC